GACGAACGCUGGCGGCGUGCUUAACACAUGCAAGUCGAACGGAAAGGCCCUGCUUUUGUGGGGUGCUCGAGUGGCGAACGGGUGAGUAACACGUGAGUAACCUGCCCUUGACUUUGGGAUAACUUCAGGAAACUGGGGCUAAUACCGGAUAGGAGCUCCUGCUGCAUGGUGGGGGUUGGAAAGUUUCGGCGGUUGGGGAUGGACUCGCGGCUUAUCAGCUUGUUGGUGGGGUAGUGGCUUACCAAGGCUUUGACGGGUAGCCGGCCUGAGAGGGUGACCGGCCACAUUGGGACUGAGAGACGGCCCAGACUCCUACGGGAGGCAGCAGUGGGGAAUAUUGCACAAUGGGCGGAAGCCUGAUGCAGCAACGCCGCGUGCGGGAUGACGGCCUUCGGGUUGUAAACCGCUUUCGCCUGUGACGAAGCGUGAGUGACGGUAAUGGGUAAAGAAGUACCGGCUAACUACGU
rnacentral:rRNA from 1 species